UUAAUUCGAAGCAACGCGAAGAACCUUACCUAAGCUUGACAUCCCAAUGACAUCUCCUUAAUCGGAGAGUUCCCUUCGGGGACAUUGGUGACAGGUGGUGCAUGGUUGUCGUCAGCUCGUGUCGUGAGAUGUUGGGUUAAGUCCCGCAACGAGCGCAACCCUUGUCUUUAGUUGCCAUCAUUAAGUUGGGCACUCUAGAGAGACUGCCAGGGAUAACCUGGAGGAAGGUGGGGAUGACGUCAAAUCAUCAUGCCCCUUAUGCUUAGGGCUACACACGUGCUACAAUGGGUAGUACAGAGGGUUGCCAAGCCGUAAGGUGGAGCUAAUCCCUUAAAGCUACUCUCAGUUCGGAUUGUAGGCUGAAACUCGCCUACAUGAAGCUGGAGUUACUAGUAAUCGCAGAUCAGAAUGCUGCGGUGAAUGCGUUCCCGGGUCUUGUACACACCGCCCGUCACACCACGGGAGUUGGAGACGCCCGAAGCCGAUUAUCUAACCUUUUGGAAGAAGUCGUCGAAGGUGGAAUCAAUAACUGGGGUGAAGUCGUAACAAGGUAGCCGUAUCGGAAGGUGCGGCUGGAUCACCUCCUUUCUAAGGA
rnacentral:rRNA from 1 species